rnacentral:rRNA from 1 species
AGGGUUUGAUUAUGGCUCAGGAUGAACGCUGGCGGCGUGCUUAACACAUGCAAGUCGAACGAAGCACUUAAGAUUGAUUCUUCGGAUGAAGUCUUUUGUGACUGAGUGGCGGACGGGUGAGUAACGCGUGGGUAACCUGCCUCAUACAGGGGGAUAACAGUUAGAAAUGACUGCUAAUACCGCAUAAGCGCACAGGGUCGCAUGACCUGGUGUGAAAAACUCCGGUGGUAUGAGAUGGACCCGCGUCUGAUUAGCUAGUUGGCGAGGUAACGGCCCACCAAGGCGACGAUCAGUAGCCGACCUGAGAGGGUGAUCGGCCACAUUGGGACUGAGACACGGCCCAA